rnacentral:lncRNA from 1 species
ACUGCAGUCUAGCCUGGGCGACAGAGCAAGACUCUGUUUCAAAAAAAAAAAAAAAGACAGAGUUUUGGCUCUUGUCGCCCAGGCUGGAGUGCAAUGGCGCGAUCUUGGCUUACUACAACCUCUGCCUCCAGGGUUCAAGCAAUUCUCCUGAGCCUCAGCCUCCCGAGUAGCUGGGAUUAAUAAAAUGGCCUGGCAUCACACAAUGCCAGCAAAAAAUCAGCAAUCGCAUCCCCUGCUGCCUGACAGCACAGUUUCUGAAGUUUCACAUCCAAGCUGUUUCCUAGGUAACCACCACACAGCCUCCAGGACCGUCUGCAUAAAUAGGGAGGAAGGGGGAAUCCAGCCAGCGCCUCUCAUUUCCUGCAUCAACAAUAGUGCAGGCCUUUGUCAGGGCGUUAAUGUGGCGAAAACAGCCCCAAAGCUUAUCCGUGGGAUUCUAGUUCAAAUGAGAUAUUUCCACUCACUGAAGGGCCCGAUUCAUUGAGGAUCUUGCCUGUCAGAGCACUGAGCCUGUUUCUAU